rnacentral:misc_RNA from 1 species
GACGAAUGUUGGAUGGUAGAGAAAUUAUGGUUCAGUUCGCUAAGUAUGGUCCCAAUGCUGAGAAAAUUCGGAAGGGGAGAGUAAUGGAGUCAUCAUCUAAGACAAGGGGAAGGUCGAGGAGCCGCAGUCCACGUUCAAGGCACCGUGAUGACCAUAGGGAUAGGGAUUACAGGAGAAGAAGUCGCAGUAGAAGCCGGGAUAGAUAUGAUCGUGAUAGACCCCACAGAAGUGAGAGAGACCGCUAUCGUAGUAGGAGUCGUAGUGCUAGUCCUGACCGUAGUAAAGAUCGUAGGAGGGGAAGAGAUGAUGAUGAACGUCGUAGUGCUAGCCAUUCCGAUAGAAGUAUGUCGCCCGCCCGACAUUCCCCUGAUACUCGGAGGAGCAUAUCUCCACGUAGGACACCACCAUCUAGGGGUAGAAGCGACGAUGAACUUUCUCCAAAGCGA